GCUGGCGGCAUGCUUUACACAUGCAAGUCGAGCGGCAGCGCGGGGGCAACCCUGGCGGCGAGCGGCGAACGGGUGAGUAAUGCAUCGGAACGUGUCCGGGAGUGGGGGAUAACGCCGCGAAAGCGGCGCUAAUACCGCAUAUUCUCUGAGGAGGAAAGCGGGGGACUCGCAAGGGCCUCGCGCUCGCGGAGCGGCCGAUGUCCGAUUAGGUUGUUGGUGGGGUAAUGGCCUACCAAGCCUGCGAUCGGUAGCUGGUCUGAGAGGAUGAUCAGCCACACUGGGACUGAGACACGGCCCAGACUCCUACGGGAGGCAGCAGUGGGGAAUUUUGGACAAUGGGGGCAACCCUGAUCCAGCCAUGCCGCGUGCGGGAAGAAGGCCUUCGGGUUGUAAACCGCUUUUAGCCGGGAAGAAAAGGCCACGGAUAACACCCGUGGUUCUUGACGGUACUGGCGGAAUAAGCACCGGCUAACUACGUGCCAGCAGCCGCGGUAAUACGUAGGGUGCGAGCGUUAAUCGGAAUUACUGGGCGUAAAGCGUGCGCAGGCGGUUCGUUGUGUCUGUGGUGAAAACCC
rnacentral:rRNA from 1 species